AGAGCUAUGGGCAAAGUUUGUUAAGAGCUCCCCUUAAUCCCAAAUAUUUGCACAAAGGGUUGAUUUUUCCAGAAUGCAAGUUCUGUGUCUAGUUUGAUGGCAUCAUUCACUAGAAAUUGCCAUUCACCUGGUGUUCUUCCGGCCCAAAGAGAGCUGCCAUUUGCACUCUAACACUUGUCUUCCCCAAAUGGUAAUUGAUUGCUUUCUACGCCAUGCUAGCGCUCGUUUACAAAAGCAGACUCGGAGAGCAGAAAAUAGGCAGCUCCAUGUUCUUGAAUUUGAGGCGUGUUCUGUGCCUGAACAGCGCCUAUAAACAUUACCAGGUGCAUCUUGUAGGCAUUGUUUCCAGAAUGGCCAUCUCACAAUGCUUCUGAUGCGUCUCCAACCACUUUGGCUUAAUUGGUUUCAUGUGCCAUUCACUCUAAUUUUGUGGAAGGCUGGUUUUUCUCUGGCAAUGGGUGACAUUUUCCUGGCCCGGCAAUCACAUGCCUGGGAGGUUUCUACUUGAGUGAAGGCGAAUUCUGGCCAAAGGAGCCUGGCUGACAUGCUGGAGGCUCAAAUCCUCCAGACACACAGAGUUACAGACAGAGAACAACUGGCGCCAUGCUGUGCAUUCCCACCCAUCUUCAGCACGUUAGGGAAGUGAGAUGGUGUGCCAUAUGGAUUCUCAAGCAGUCCAGUGAAGAGGACUCUGGGGACCGAAACCAAAACUUCCUGCCAAGGCACACAGCUUUGAAGGAGCUCUCGGGGGAUCGACCAUUCCAACCCUAUGGGUUUUUUUUUUUAACCAAUACCCCAGAACACAGUUAUGAAGUCUAUGUUGCAGAUGGGUCAACAAAUAUAUCUUCAUAUAUAAAUUUUUUUCUGCUUUAAAUUAAACCUUUAUUUAGGUUUUACAAACUUUGAGAACUAAGCAGCUGUUUAUAUUUUAAAGAAAUCCUUCUAGGCAGUGUAGAAAACAUUCAGACGUUUAAGAGGCAGUAAGACCUCUGCUCUGUGUUUACUGGGUAACUUUGGGCAAAGCACUGAAUGUCCAGUUGCCACUCAGGGAUUCUAAUUACAUUGUGCUUGGAUGGAGGCUGCACAUGGGGUUUUGUAAAGCCCUCUAUAUAAUUCGGAGUGCAUCCAGAAUUGCAAACUACUGAUAUAAUCUCUCAUAGUCUCGGUUCGGAGGUAGUAAUAUGGAGCCCUUGGUGGUUUUUGUGAGGAUUAAGGAUAAGUAAUUAAGACGAAGCUCCAAGCAUGGUGUUUGGCAAAUAGCUGGUACAUGAUGGAUGCUAUCCAGGAGUAUUUGAGGUUUGUUUUAAAAAUUUUUAUUGUGUUACACAAAGAUUCAGUACUUGCUUAGAUACAUCCAUUCAUUAUUUUUCCCUGGUGAGUCCUAAGGCUUUCAUAUUUAGAAAUCCCUUUCCCUUCAAGUGUCUUAUGAUUUCAUUUUUAUGUUUAUCCCACCUAUCUGGAACUUACUUGAGCAUAUAAUGCAAGGUGAGGCUAGGAGUUACCUUUUUUCUAAAGAGUCCAUUUUCCCCUGACCUGCCCUAAAUCCUCUCCUUCAGCCAUUGAUUGGUAACACCUUCUUAGUUCUGUAUUGGGUUUUUAGGUAUAUAUCAGCAUCUAUUUCUGGAACAACUGCUCUCAGAAAUGGAUUGUUUCUUUAUUCUUGUUCUAGUUUUUUAAAUGCUUAAUUAUUAAGGCUUUGAAGCAUCUUUAAUAUCUGUUGGAUUAAUUCAAACAUUUACCACCUUUCCUUUAUUAACAAUUUCUUCCAUAUUCUUGAUGGAGGUAUCUUUUGAGAGCAUCAAGUUCUUACCCUGCCUUCAGUAAUUCUUUGUCAGCUAACAGAAUCAUUCCAUUUCCCCAUUAAGUUACCCCAAAUGGAAAGAAAAGUAUACUAUUUACUCAGGAUCAAGGGAUGUAAUCCAAAGCAGCCUACAGAAGGCCAACAUUCCACUUGUCUAAGGUUCCAUUUUUAAAAUCCAAGCAAC